UCUUCUAAAAUUGGAGGCCAUGGAGGAGGAGGAAGGGAUAGAUCAAUUAUUUUCCUUCUGGAGAUCUGAGUAUUCCAAGGCUUUUUCUUUACAGAAACAAGCAUUCAAGGGAAGGAGUUGGGGGUUGAGCUCUCCAUGGGUUUUUUUUUUUGGAGUUGAUGGGAAAGUAUUUGGAGGAAUACCUCCAAUGAAGAAACUAAAUUUGGACUAGUGGUUCUUGAGAGGGUUCAAGGUUGAUUUGAAAGGUUUAAGUGAUUAUGUGCAAUGUCCAUACAGAAGAAGCACAGUAAAUCAAAGUAGCACAAUAAAUCAUCAAAUUAUUAUGAAGCGGCAUCUCCGGUGUUGAAGAAGAAAGCAUGAUGAAGCGACUUCCUCUAACUACUUGUUACUGGGUUCGUACAAAAUUGCUUGCAAGUCCUCGAUGGCUUUGUCAAUCGCAUAAACUAUCAUUUUCUUAAUCUGGUACACAAAACCAGGAAGAUGUGUAAGCAAAUCAAUAAAUCAAACAAAAAAAACAAUAGCACUAUCCUUGGAAAAGGUUUACCUCAA